rnacentral:misc_RNA from 1 species
GAAAUGCGAUAAGUAAUGUGAAUUGCAGAAUUCAGUGAAUCAUCGAAUCUUUGAACGCACCUUGCGCUCCUUGGUAUUCCUUGGAGCAUGCCUGUUUGAGUAUCAUGAAAUCUUCAAAGUAAAUCUUUUGUUAACUCAAUUGGUUUCUACUUUGGUAUUGGAGGUCUUUGCAGCUUCACACCUGCUCCUCUUUGUUCAUUAGCUGGAUCUCAGUGUUAUGCUUGGUUCCACUCGGCGUGAUAAGUUAUCUAUCGCUGAGGACACUGUAAAAGGUGGCCAAGGUAAAUGCAGAUGAACCGCUUCUAAUAGUCCAUUGACUUGGACAAUACUUUUAUGAUCUGAUCUCAAAUCAGGUAGGACUACCCGCUGAACUGAAGCAU